rnacentral:lncRNA from 1 species
AAUGACCUUCUAAUUGACCUUCCCAUUGCCAACUGAGGAAGAGACUAACUAGCAAUAAUAUAUUCCUUGGACUGUGCUUUGAUCUCUCUAAAACAGGGUCUCUUAAUCUUGACACUAUGGGCAUUUGGGGCCAGAUCAUUUUUUGUUAUGCAGGGAUGUCCGGUGCCUUAUAGGAUGCUUAUCAGCAACCCUAGCCUCUAAACUAGCAAAUCCUCCUUUGCCCCAGUCAUGACAAUAAAAAAUAUACAAAUGUCCCUGGAGGAGGGAAGAUUUCCCCCAGUUAAGUGCCACUGCCCUAAAACAUGGAUUUGAUCAUGUCAUUCCCUCCAGUAUUUCAUUGAUUCUUUAAUUCAUUCAAUAAAUAUGUGUUUGCAAGGCUCUGUGCUGCACUGUAAGAAUACCAUGGUGAACAAAUUAGAUAUGGUCAUUGCCCACACAGCUUAUAUUCAGUUUCACUGAGCAGCAAUCUAAGUGGAAAAAAAAGUGUAUAUUAUAAUAAAUCAUAGAAAAGAAACAAGGUAGAGAUGGGUCAAAGUUUAUUCUGGGUGGUAAUAUUUCAGGCACAUCCUGAAGGUUGAGAAGAAGGUAGAUGUGCAGAGUGGUGGAAGGAGUUUCCUGGCAGAGGAAAGAUCAUGCGCAAAUGAUUUGAAACAGCAGAACAUACAAUGUCUGAGGAACUGGGGGAAAUUCUAUGGGGAGAGCAUUGGUCAGCAAGAGGGAAAGGACUAUAUCAGGCUCAGGUGUAUAAGACAUGGUAAGCUGUCUGGAUUUUAUUCUAAGUGCAAUAGAAGCCAUAGGAGAUUAAGGGAGGAAUAAUCUUCUUAUUUUUAAAAAUCACAUUCCUGUGGAGUUCCCUGGUGGCUCUGCUGGUUAAGGAUCUGGCAUUGUCACUGCAGCGGCACAGGUUCAACCUUAGCGUGGGAAUUCUCUCCAUGCCACAGGUGUUGCCAAAAAAUAAAAUAAAGUAAAAUAAUAUAAAAUUUCUGGUGUAUGAAGAAUGGAGUGGGAAGAGAUAGAUGAGAAAGAGAAAGAAAGAAAGGAAGGAAGGGAGGAAGGAAGAGAAGGAAGUGAAACUGAGACCCCCUAAAACUGAGUUCCCUUGCUGAUUACUCUCUCUAUCCAAAACUUUAUUUACGUUCUUGUCCUGCUCCUAUUCCUUUCAGGAUUGAGAAAUAUUAAAGAAAAAGGGAGAUUGAAACCAAACAGGACCCUGUGGGGCCUUCCCAGGUACCAAAGUCCCUCCAUUUCCCUUGUUUCUUGUUUGUAGUAAACACAAGUAUUGGUCUCCUAGGCCUUCUUUGAAUUCCAAAGAGCAGCCUCAAGCAGUUAAUGAUUAGGUCUAUAGUCCCCAGCUUCCUAGUUCCCCUGAUGAGAUAUACAUAACAAUUUGGCACAUAUCUUUGAGCUGUUCUGCAGAAAAUAUACCUCCCACCCCAGGUGGAGGCUGAUGUCUACAUGCUGACCACAAUCAUGCAGACUCCAGACUGGUUGAAACCAGAAAGUUCAGAUUCCCAAAACAUCAUCCUGUUAUGUCACCACCAACCAUUCAGAGGAAGGUCCAUGGUAUGAUCACACAUCUACAAACCUCCACCUAGCUCUGUCUUUAAAACCCCUGCCUGAAAGCCAUUGGGGAAUUUGGGUCUUUUGAAUAUGAGUGGUCCAUUCUCCAUGCUUGGCUCCCUGCAAGUAAACCCUUACUUUGCUGCAAACACCCCUUAUCAGAGUUUGGGUUUCUGUGCUAUGGAAACUGAUGGGAUUUUAAAUGGAAAAAAAUGGAUAUAUUUGAGAUGGGUUGUGAAGCUAGAGAUGGUGGGGCUUUCUGAUGGAUUAAAUGUGAUGAAUGAUGGAAAUGGAGGGGUCACAAAGAUUCUGAGGCUUAUGGGUUGAGCAGUGAAAUGAGAAAUGAAGACAUUUACUAAGUCUGUGAAGGUAUGGGGAACAAGUUUGAACUGGAAAUUCAAUUUAGGGCUCAUGAAGCUGGUGAGUCAUUCAAUGGACAUUGGUACCAAAGUUGGUUAUGAGUGUCUGGGGUUGAGAGGAGACAGCCAUACUGGAGAUUAUCAAUUUGAGAAUCAUCAAAAUAUAGGUGAUAUUAAAACUAUCGGAUGAACUCACAUAAGGAAAUAUCCAGCGAGAAAAGAGAACGUGGCCCUGGAGUGACUGAGGAACACCAACAAGAGAGUGAGAAAGAAAGAUAUAGCCUUUUGUGAAAAAGAGUAGGUGGUGAGGUAAGAGGAAAGCAAGAAUGUGUUGUGUCAGGAAGUCAAGAGGUUAUUUCAAGAAAGAGAAGGCUAGCCUCCCCUAGAAUGUACUGAGAGGUAAGAUAAGGACAGACAAAAGUUCUUUGACAAUAGACAGAAUGACAAUGACAUUGACAAAAAUAGUCUUAAAUGUAAGUGAAAGCCAGACUGGAGCCUGUCAAAGAUGUUGCCAAAGCCAAGUUGAUGUGCCCAAUGAACAGUGAGGCCAAACAAACCUUUAUAUUGGAGUUUGGAGCAGAGAAAGGUUUAUUGCAAGGAGAAUGGGCCCCUCAUGCUCAAAAAACCCAAACUCCUCUAUAAUUUUUGGGGAAUGGUUUUUAUAGGCAAAACUUGUGUAAGGUCUUGAGGAUGUGUGACUUUCUUCUAAUGGGUUGGUGGUGAGGUAACGGGCAUUGCUCCAAGGAAUUUUGUGCUCAGCCUGAAGUUACUUACCAUGCUCCACCUGGGUGGGGGCCUUAGUUCCUGCAGAAGAGCUCAAGAUUUUAUGUAUAUCCCUUGAGCAGGAACCAGGAUCCUUCUUCAAUAGCUGCUCUAUUGUUUCUUGAUUGACUCUCCUUUAUUUUUGCAUCCCCUCACUUCCCUGAUUAUUAACUUUGAAUCUGCCCUUUGGCAUUCAGAAAGGUCUAGAAGACGGAAUGAAAACUUUUGCCUGCAGAUAAGAAACAAGGGACAUAGAAGGGAUUUGUACCUAGGAGGAACCUACAGGCUCCUGCUUGGUUUCAAUCGGUGAUAUGAAUUUAAAGAGAAAUAAGUAAGUUUACAUAUAUGAUUUUUCAAAUGCCAGUGCAUAUAUGAGGAAGGCAGAUUAACAAUCAGGGUUUUGACAAGAGAGUAGUAUGUCAGGAUAAAAAAAUAACAGAGCUCAGGGUCUUUGAGAAGAGUGUGAUUAUGAUGAUGGACAAUGAUCAAGGCUAAAUGUGUAUCCAGCCUAGGGCUGAGGCAGAUAGGGGUUGAUUGUUAGUGAAAAAGUGGUGGAAUCAGGGUAGUAGAGGUCUUGGUGAAGGUUUUUAGCUGUGGGAAUACAUAAACAAGAGAUCUGGUGGCUAGAAAGUGUGAUAUUGAAACAUUGUUAAUAUAAAGAGCUUAGAAGUGAUGUAGUUUCUAGUGCUGAUGAGGUCUAGGAUGGGACCAUGGAGAUGGGUGGCUAAUUAGAUGGAGAGACAUGUCACUGGUGAUAAAGAGGUGAAGGAACUGGAAGAUUUCCUGUUGCUUUCAGGAUGAAGCUUAAAUUCUUUGUAGAACACACUGAGAUCUUUGUGAAAUGAUCCCUACUCAAUUCUCAAUCCAACCAUCUCCCCACUCCAGACUUUGCUCGGUACAUCUUGCUCUUCACACUCUUGCUAUUGUCUGUUCCUUCUCUCGGCAGAAUGAACCUCAUUGUACCCCACUUCCCAGCCUCAGCUCUACACAUCUUUAAAAUUCCCUACAUAUUAUUUCCUACAUACUAUUAUCCUAAACAUAGAGUUCUGCAUAAGACAUUCCUGUUUUUGCUUUCAGAUAGACCCUGGACUUCCUGUUUUUAUAGUUACAAGUGUGUUUCCACCCUUGUCUGUAUGAUAGUGAUUGUUAAUAUUUCUUAGACUUACUCAUGGCAUAGUACAUGCUCAAAUUUCGUCACUAUUCCAUUUGUGUUUUGACAAAAUGUUGGAUGCAUAGUUCUGUGCAUUCAUUCAUUAUUCAUUUGUUCAGUCAUUCAUUCUUUCAUUUAACAAGUAUCUACUAAGGGUGUGCAAUGUACUGGCAAUGCUUUGAAGUGCCUGAGAUACAUCAGUGAACAAAAAAGACAGAAAUCUUUGCCCUCUAAGCUUACAUUCCAGUGGAGGAAGACAGAUGAUAAAUCAUGGGUAUAAUAUGUUAGUAAAUUAGAGAUAUGUAAGAAUCUGAUAAAGACUAUGGGAAAAAGUAAUACAGGAGGAUUGCAGGUGAUUUUUGCAAUUGUAAAUAAAGGGGUCAUAGAAGGCUUCCCUGAGAAGAUGACAUUUGAGCAAAGAGCUGAAGAAGGUAAGGAAAUUAGUCAUGUAAGUAUCUGAGGUAAGAGCGUUUGAGGCAGCUAGAAAAGGAAUGCAAAGGAUCUGAAACUGGAAGACAGAGUACAUAGACAGAUGCUGGGAGGUAGGAGCUUGUGCAGCACGUUCAAAGGACAGCAAGAAGGCAGUGUGACUGGAGCAGUGUAAACAACAAAAAGAAUAGUGACAGGUGAGUCAGAUAACAAGAAGUACUUCAUUAUAGGGUCUUUGGCUUUUACUCUGAGUGACAGGGAACAGGAAGUGGUAUAAUAUGAUUUACAUUGUCAAAGGGUCACUGUGGCCAUUGUGUUGAGAAUAGACAAAAGGGGAAGGAUAGAUGCAGGAGAGUGAGGAGGAUACUGUAACAAUCCUCAGAGGAGAAAACAGUGGCUUGGUCUAUGGUUGUAGCAUGGUCAUGGAGACAGUGCUUGAAAUCUGGAUAUAUUUUAAAGAUUGAGCCAGGUGGUUUCCUGGCAGAAUAAAGGUGGUACGACAGAGAGGAUAGGGAUGAUUCCAUGGUUUUUGCCUUGGCGCAGAGACAGAUUUUUUUUUUGUUUUUGUUUUUUUGCUUUUAAAGGCCCCACCUGUGGCAUAUGGAAGUUCUGGGCUGGGGUCGAACUGGAGCUGCAGCUGUCAAGCUACACCACAGCCACAUCAAUGCCAGAUAUGAGCUGUGUCUUUGACCUACACCAUAGCUCAUGGCAAUGCCAGAUCCUUAACUCAUGGAGUGGGGCCAGGGAUCCCGCAUCCUCAUGGAUACUAGUUGGAUUCGUUCUCUCUGUGCCACAAUAGGACUCCAGGGUGAGUUAGAUUCUUGGAGGAAGGUCACAAGUUAAGUUUUAUUUUUUUUAUUAUAAUUUGUAUUUAUUUGUCUUUCAUAUUUUAAAGUGUUAUUAAAGUGUAGUUGAUUUACAGGGUUGUGAUAAUUGCUGCUGUACAAAAAGCAACUCAGAUAUACAUGUUCACACAUCCAUUCUCUUUCGGAUUCUUUUCCCACAUAGAUUAUCACACAACAUUGGGUAGAGUACUCUGCACUAUAUAACAGGUCCCUGUUGGCCCAUCGUUCCAUAUACCUCAGUGUGCAUAUGCCAAUCCCAAGCCCCCAAUCCAUCCUUCCCCCUUCCACCUGUCCCUUUUGGUAACCAUAAGUUUUUCAAAGUCUGAGUCUGUUUCUGUUCUUCAAAUAUGUUUAUUUGUAACCUUUUUUUUUUUUAAAGAUUCCACAUAUAAGUGAUAUAUCUUGCGGUGUUGUCUUUCACUGUUUAACUAACUUCACUCAGUAUGAUAAUUUCUAGGUCCAUCCAUGCUGUUGCAAAUGGUGUUGUUUCAUUCUUUUUGAUGGCUGAGUAAUAUUCCAUUGUAUAUAUUACCACAUUUUCUUAAUACAUUCAUCUGUUGAUGGACAUUUAGAUUGCUUCUAUAUCUUGGCUAUUAUAAAUAGUAGUUAAAUGAACAGUGGGCUUCAUGUAUCUUUCUGAAUUAUGGUUUUCUUCAGAUAGAUGCCCAGUCGUGGGAUUGCUGGAUCUAGUUCUAUUUUUAGUUUUUUGAGGAACCUCCAUACUGUUUUUCAUAGUGCUUGCACCAAUUUAAACAUCUUGAGUUUGUGAUGUGGAGAUGUUCAGUGUGUAAUUGCAUACACAAACUUAAAUUUUAGGAGCUAGGCCUGGCUUGGAUAGGAACACUGGGGAGUCAUUAGUAUAUAGACAGUACUUAAACCCUGAUGGGAUGAGGUUGCCAAGGGAAGAGGAGAGGACCAAAGGUUGAGCCAUGAGACUCUCCAAUGUUAAGAUGUCUGAGAGGAGAAGAGGAAUCAGUAAAAGAGACUGAGAAGGACCAAAUUUGAGGUGAGAGGAAAGCCAAUGGAUAGGUGUCUAGAAGUAAAUGGAAAAAGUGAAUCAAUAAGGAGAGAGUGGUCUCAACGGGAUCAGUGCCAACAAGAGCACAGUAAGAUGGGAACUCAGAAAAGACCACUGGAUUUAGCAAUGGAGACCUUGGCAAGAACAGUGUCUGUGGACUGAUGAGUCAGAAAGCUGCACAAGAGUCAAGAGUAUCAGAGGAUAGGUAUUGGGAGGCUGUAAUUACUAGCAAAUGGGAGCAGAGACAGGGGCAGUAUUUUCAGGAGAAAUAGAGUCAUGCUAAAGGCAAUCCAAAUAGAAUUAUCCAGAACCAAAAAGGGAAUGAACAAAACAGUGGUUUUCUGGGACAUUGUAAUAUCUGGAGACAUGUUUGAUAGUCAUGAUUGGGGUUGUACUGGUGGCAUCUUGUGGGUAGAGGCCCGGGAUACUGCUGAACAUCCUAUAGUCCAUAGGACAGCUCCCACAGCAAAGAGUUAUCUGCCUCAAACAACAAUAAUGCCAAGAUUGAGAAACUACUCCAGAUAAAGACGAUUCUGCAUAGACACACAAAACUUUGAACACAGUUCGAAUAAAAACACAUCUGCAUAUAUACAGAAAAUUUUGAACACAGUUUCAGGGGUUUCAGAGACUUCUUGAAGCCUAUUAAUAGAUCAAUCUGGGUCAACCGAUUUCAGGUCCAAACCCUCUGCUGGGUGCUCCCGGAUGGUUCAGCAGGUUGGGGAUCUGGUAUUAUCACUGCUGUAGCUCUGGUCACUUGUGUGGUGCGGAUUCAGUCUCUGGCCUGGGAACUUCUGCAUGC